rnacentral:lncRNA from 10 species
AUUUAAUUACAUCACUCUCUGCUGCUGCCUUUCCGGGAUCUCCCCCCAGGCUGGGACACACAGGCUCUGCUGCGGGUAAGGUCAAGAUGCCAACUCAGGAAGCAUAAGAGAGGGAAGGAGCAGAAGCCCACCCAUCCCUAUCUCCUCAACUAGAAAAGACCAGAAAGACGGAGAAAAAAGGAAACAGCAACAUAGACUCAUAGAAACAAUAAAGCAGGAAUAGGAAGCUCCCGACACAUCGACUGCUCCGGGAGCCCGGGGUCGACCGCCCCCGCGGGCAGGGUGCGCGGACUCAGCGCCGGGACCCGCGGCCGCGGGGGCGCAGAGUGGGCGGCGGGGAGAGGCGG